AGAAAGUCUAAUCAACGGAAAAUGAAGAGAAGAGGAAAACAGUGUUAAUCUUUAUGAAUUAUGAUGAGAGCUCUUUUAGCCUUUUACCUAAACAACAAGAAAUGUCAAUUUUAUCAUGCCAUUCGGCCGAAAAGUAAGUUUCAACCCCUUUCUACACUCCUCUCAAGUCCUAAUCCUAUUCAAACAUUUCAAAUUUUGAAUCUUUUUCCAAACAUCUCGCCUUUUUCUUGUUUUGAAAAACAAA
rnacentral:misc_RNA from 1 species